CCAGUCUCUGACUUCUCUGACUGACCUCCGGACCUGAUCGAAGGGCUCGUGUGAUUAAGUCUGGCUCGCUUGGGUCAACUGAUGUGCAAAACCCCUCUCCAGCAGCACCUGGAUUCGUGUUUCAUUUAAUACCAAGAAAAGGGACUUUGUGGAGAACAGACGAGAGCAGGGGAAAGCCUGAACAAUGAUCCCAAAGAGACUGAGGAGCAUUCUGGGCACGUGACC